GUGAGGGGUAAUUAGUGCAGCUGAAGGGCAGUAAGGGCAUGUGGGGUGGGUAAAGGGGCCAUGUAGGGGUAAUUAGUGUGGCAGGGGAGGUGAUAAGGGCAUGUGGGGUGGGUAAUUAGUACAGCUGAGGGGUAGUUACUGAAGAUGAGGAGUAAUUAGCGUAGCUGCGGUGGGUAAUUAGUGCAGCUAGAGGGCGGUAGGUGAAUGUGGAGUAGGUAAUUAGUGCAGCUAAAGGGUAAUUAGGGCAGCUGGGGGGAGCAAUUUGGGGAUGUGGGGUAAUUAGUGCAGCCAGGGGUGGGUAAUAUGGGCAUGUGGGGUGGGUAAUUAGUGCAGCUGAGGGGUAAUUAGUGAAGUGGGGGUGGGGUGGGGGAGUGGUAAAUAAUGCCACGGAGGCAAUACCUGCUAUUGGCUGGGGUAAUUAAUGCUGUGGGGGUAAGUAGUGCAGUGGGGUAAUUAGCGAAUGUGUAGGGAAAUGGGACCCAGGGCAGCACGGGGUGAGAUCCCGCUGUGGGCGGGGCGGGGUUGGAGCCGGUCCUCGUGGAGGUCUUUCCCAUUGGCGCUGGGUUGGGGACGCGCGGUGGUUGGUGUCUUCCCAGGGGACGUCGCGGUGCUGCGCACGAGGAGGGCUCGCAGAGGUUAGGAAGGAUCCGCAAUGAGCCACGGUGUCCCCGGGCCAGCCCGGCCCCGCAAGCCCAGACAGACAAACGGACGGGUGGACACAUGGAUGCAGCCAAGGAGCCACCCGGCUCCAGCAUGCGUCUCCCGGGCAGCUCCCAGAGGCAGCGCCUUAUCUGAUCGCAGCGCUUGGAACGGGGGAGAGCAGAGGGCUUUGAAGGCAGCGCAGGAGCCCGCGGAGACACUAAAAUGGAGAGGGGACGCAAUCAGAGAACACAAACAUGAGCAGAACUGCAGCUCCAGCAAUACGAUGGCCAAACCUCUGGCUCUCAGAGCUCGUCCCACUGCAUACAGAACGUGGAAGAGAAGGAAA